ACUAAGGGGCAGUCGUGGGGAGCCAGAGACCCGGACCAGGAGCUCGGUUUGCCAGAGCCCAUUGUACUCACGCCGGGGGUCUGAAGACCUUCUUUUACUGGUUCUGUUUAUCAGUCAAACUUUAGUUGACCUUUGGACUUGUUAAGCAAGUGGCUUGCAACCUAGGCGUGGGGGCUUUUCCACUGGCGGCGGGCUCAGCUUCAGCCCAGAAAGAAGAAACUGACUUUCGGGGGUUCAGGACAACCUCGGUGCCCGGGACCAGAGACGCUCUCUGUAAAUGCAAGGUCACCGUGGCAGCGCGCCCGCGGAGUAGAGAAGGCACCCACAAGCCACUGAAAGAAGUUUUUUUUCCACCCAGGCCUGGCCCGGAAGGAAGCCACUGGCCUUUCAGUAUUACAGGAGUUUCUGCCGCACCUCCCUGGGAGGCUGAGGGGAAAAAGAGGGCCAAAGUAAGGGCUCCCAAACCUACAGACUGGGACCUGAUUUGCAAAAAAAAAAAAAAAAAAAAAAAAAAACAGAGGAAGGGGUUUCUUAGAAUCCCACCCACCGGUUGCUCCUGGGGCAGGACACCUGUUCCCCUUUUUGAGCUUCAGUUUCCUCCUCUGUGAAAAGGAUACCUAUAGCUAAGGUGCAGGGGAUCUGCACUCGCUAAAUGAGACCACCUGUGUAAACCGUUGGUCUAACAAUAGUGCUCACACUUUCCUGACUGGAAGGGCAGGAGGCCUGUUCCCAGUAUUAAAAUCUAACCCUUUUGGAUGCUUAGAGUUCUCAGAAUCAGGGAGAUGCAGUGCUGGAUUUGGAGCGGCAAAGAAAUUAGGGACAAAAAUUCAGAAUCUGCAGGAAAGUUGCAAAGGAACUUCUAAAUACAUUCUCUUACCUCUCCCUCCUUUGAAGGCAAAUUAGGAGGAAGUUAGGGUUGGGUUAGGGAUAGAGAAGAAUUUCAGGAUGAGGAGGAAGGGUCCAUCAGCUUUCAUCUGGUAAGUACAGGAUCAGAUCUUCUCCAUGUAGAAAGGCUGGUGAUGUGACUGACCAAGGACAAGCUACUAAGGAGAGAGGAUGACACUUUCAAAUGCAGGCUGGGCUACAGGUGCCUGGGUUUCUGUUCCUGAAGCCAGAAUGAAGAGGAAAAGUUGUAUACAUGGAGCCUUGGGGAAGGUUUACCCCCAUCACUGACCUUUCCCUGAGAAAGGGGUAAUAAAUUUAUAGACAUCAUGGCCUUUCAUUUCACCUCCUUGUCUUCUAGUUUGUUGUGACAUAUGGCAUAUCCUUGAAAUUUUUUCCACCCAGUAAAACUUUCUCUGCCUCCCCAGCUCCCUUUAAGUAGGAUAAUGAUGUGUUCAGAGUAAAUGUCCCUGGACAAUAAUCGUUUUUCUGUUCCUUACUAUCAUGACAGAAGCAUCAAGUUUUUGUAUUAACCUGGGAAACCCCAUUGAAAAGCCAGUCAUCGCUUCCCUUUGACAGCACAGCUUUGUAUUUCCAACUGCCGUGUGUCCCAUUAGACUGCCGGCCAGGCCUCCUUCUCUCUCAAAAUUCAGGUGUCUGCAAACCCAUUCUUCCCCCAGCCCCAUUCACCUUAUCUGAAUGCAGGAAGUUGCACACAAAAUACAGGAAAAACUUCCUCUCAGUGUUGGGGUCUGUCUUGCAGGUCAUCUGGCCAUUCAUACCCAGCAACUUCCUGCGAUCCUCCUGCCCAUAUCCACCUUAUAUAUGCCACUUGGUGCAGUGUAGGUGCUUACCAAGUCAUCUUGACUACAGAUCUGUGACGAUUCCAUGCCUAUCCCUUCCUACAGAGAUUUAAAAAGAAAAGUAUAAGUAGGACAGCAAAUAGUUCUUCAGGAUUCAGGUUGUAGAUGCUCAUUAAAUGAGCUAUCUCCUGAACCCCUUCAGGAAACUUCCCCCCUAUAGAGGAAGACAUGGUGUGAUUAAAACAAUCUUUGCUUAUGUUUCACAUGGUAUAAAGUAGUGAUGAACUCAGAUAGUGACCCCCAGUUUAAAUAUGGGAAAAUAAGACAUGGGAGAAUGUAAGGAGGUUGCUUGUAGUCACUGAAAUAAAUUAGUGGAAGGGCUGAGACUGGGACUCAGGACUUCAGUGCAGGACUUUAGGGUGAAAGAGGAGAGUGUCUGACUUUCAUGGUUUGGGAGAAGGAAAGUUGGAAGGGAGAUUCUAUGGGAGUGAGGUGGAAGAUACACAGCAAAGAACAGAAGGUGGGCUUUGGAGUCCAAGAGAUCUACAAAAAGGAUAAGAACUCUGUAUUGUGUUUUUGUGAAGAUGAAAUGACUUAAGAACUGCAGGCUCCCAGACUGUGGCAGGUUUUCACAUAUUCAGAAAAAGGACACACCGUGAAAACAUGCUCAGUGAGGCAAUUGACCUCUUUGGGCUCUUAUAUUCCCAGAAUGGUUUUGUUUUUGUUUUUGGUACCAGGGAUUGAACCCAGAGGUGCUUAACCACUGAGCCACAUCCCCAGCCCUUUUUAUUUUUUAUUUUGAGACAGAGUCUUGCUAGGUUGCUUAGAGUCUUGCUAAAUCACUGAGACUGACUUUGAAUUUGGGAUCCUCCUGCCUUAGCCUCCCGAGUUGCUGGGAUUACAAAUGUGUGCCACCAUGCCUGGCCUCCCAGAUUGCUUUUAAGAGUUACUGAAUUCGAAGAGACCACAUUAUUUUACCAAAUAAUAAAUUUGUAAUUCAAAUCCCAAGGUUUUCUAUGGGAGAUGAAGUUCCUGGUGUAAAAAUUAUUGUAAAUCUAGUGAGCGGGUCACUCUAUGAAGUUUUUCAGAGCACCAUGCUGGUAAUUUCAUAGAAUACUGAAUGCUGCUCCUGUGAACACACCUCUUUUUCUUUCCUGCUUGUGUACAUGGUCCCCCUGCUUUUCCUUGGUUACCCCUCUUCCACUACAGAAAGGUGAAAGGUCUUUCUGAUCUCUGCUCUUCUACUCAUUGAUUUGGCAGAAUGUCUAGAAGGCAUCAAAAUGAAAUAUCUCCAGAGAAGAACAUAAAUAUCGCUCUCUCCUGGUCUGAAGGAGGUUGGAGGCCUUAGUGUUAGAAAGCAGUGCCAUAUCCCAGAGAACAUUUUGGACUUAAGGGUCAGGAGUCUGAUGUCCUAGUUCUGUGUAUAACACUCCUUUCUGGAUGAGUCUUCACCUCUCUCAAAGACUUUAGUGAACAUCUCUGGGCCUCUGAUUUUGCUUUCAAAAAUUGACCAGUUAGGUCAGAUGACUGUUUAAAUUCCCCAACUUUUUUAUGAUUCAAAAUUCCUAAAAGGUCUUAAGUUCCUGGGGUAACCCCUUUCAGGCCUUUGGGAAGAUAGAUGGUCCAAGAACACUGGCCAAACCUCUGUGUGGUAGUAGACAUGAAAUUUUUGACUGAUCCAUGAAAAAGUACACCACAGACUAUAAUCUUCGUGGGAGGCAGAACCUUCACCUGCCUUACUCCUCACUGCCUGGAGAGGUGCAGAUACAUGGUAAUGUGUGGCCCUCCAGGAUCUUUUCUGUUCACCAAGUAUAGUUCAUCACCCUUAAAAUCUAUAGACUAAUAUAUUCUAAGAAUGGGCAAACUUCUUCCAUAAAGGAAUAGAUAGUAAGUAUUUUAGGCUUUGUGAGCCAUGCAAGCUUUGUCAUGACUACGCAACUCUGCUGCUACAGACAAUACAAAUAAGAAUA